AGAGUUUGAUCAUGGCUCAGGAUGAACGCUGGCGGCGUGCNUAACACAUGCAAGUCGAACGAUCUAUUUCGGUAGGUAGUGGCGCACGGGUGAGUAACACGUAGCUUACCUGCCCUAGACACUGGGAUAACGCACCGAAAGGUGUGCUAAUACCGGAUAAGCUCACGUUCUGUAGAGGGAUGUGAGAAAAGGCGAAAGCCGGUUUAGGAUGGGGCUGCGGCCCAUCAGCUAGUAGGUAGGGUAAAAGCCUACCUAGGCGACGACGGGUAGGGGGCCUGAGAGGGUGACCCCCCACACUGGGACUGAGACACGGCCCAGACUCCUACGGGAGGCAGCAGUGAGGAAUAUUGCUCAAUGGGCGAAAGCCUGAAGCAGCGACGCCGCGUGGGUGAUGAAGGUCUUCGGAUCGUAAAGCCCUUUUCUGUGUGACGAGAAAGGACGGUAGCACAGGAAUAAGUGUCGGCUAACUACGUGCCAGCAGCCGCGGUA
rnacentral:rRNA from 1 species